rnacentral:lncRNA from 1 species
AAACUCAACUGUAGAAAGACUAGAAAGAGAUAAGAUAGAUUGACUUCUUUAUUACCAACUGAUGAAAGAAAAGUUUGGUAGAUAUGUUACCUUUCUUUGACAACUCAUGAAAGAAAAGGUUGGCAAGAUUUGAAAUUCUUUCAUCUGCAUCUUCCAGGCAGAUGGCCAAUUCAUUUAUAUAACCUUUCACCUAGAAAUGAUUCACACAAAUCAAGAUGCUAAAAAUCUACCACAAGAAAGCUACAUACGAGUGUAUGAUAGUCCUGCCAAACCUUCAAUAUGUCAUUCAGGAUCAGAUGAGAAAGAGAUAGAGAUAGAGAGGCUGCUUACAACAGUCACUCAGCCUAGAACAACAAUAUUCCCAGUGUAAUCCCAUAUACAUACUUUACCCCUACUUAGAGAUAGAGAGGUUGUUUCCCAUAGACCCUCUACCUAAAGCAUGACUAACUAAAGUGUGUAUAUAUAUUACAGGUAGUCAACAAAGUUGAGCAUAGUUUUAUAAUAUCUCACAACUCCAAUUUAACAUCAAUUGAACAUGAAAGGAGGAGGUACACAAAAGCAGAAGCUAAACUGCUCAGUUGUUUGUCAUUGAUAAUAUGGUUUUGGGCUAUAACAGUGUCUAAAAGUUUGUCAUUGAUAAUAUGGCU